rnacentral:rRNA from 1 species
CACGUAGGGCGCAAGCGUUGUCCGGAAUUAUUGGGCGUAAAGAGCUCGUAGGCGGUCUGUUGCGUCCGCUGUGAAAACUCGGGGCUUAACCCCGAGCCUGCAGUGGAUACGGGCAGACUAGAGGUAGGUAGGGGAGAAUGGAAUUCCCGGUGUAGCGGUGAAAUGCGCAGAUAUCGGGAGGAAUACCGAUGGCGAAGGCAGGUCUCUGGGCUGACACUGACGCUCAUGCACGAAAGCGUGGGGAGCAAACAGG